rnacentral:lncRNA from 1 species
UCCUUUUUUCCACUAGACUUAGUUGGGACUGACACUCUCACACAAGUAAGUAAAUUCAAAGACAUGGAUUUAUUUACAUUAUUUACACAUACAUCUAUUAUUUAUAUUCUAAACUACCUGCCUACCCUACUAAAACCUACCACCUAACUCCAUAGGGUGGGGAAAGAGGGGGGUUGAACAACACGAGCCGCUUUCUACUUAUACUGGAAAGUGUUGGUGCUACGUCACCCACUGUCGUCGUCCGUCUCGUGUGACUGAGUAUGUCGGGUAGAGGUAACAAAGCACUGUCAGCGGUACACAAGCGCCCCCGCUAUAAUAGCAAGAGGCUAUAUUCUUAUUCCAAACAAUAACAAGACCACCUACGGUUAGUGGAUGGUAGCAAUGGUUGGCUUCCUUUUAUGUGCGGGCUAUAUAAGGGCUUGCAACACGCCUGGAUGCUUUUUAUUUCUCACGGCAUUUCCUCCAUUUUACGCCAAGGCAUCAUUAAAUUUCUCCCACCCACAAGUUGUCCACUUUCCCCACGUUGCUUUAUGGCAAUCUUUAUAUCUACAGCCAUUCUUUUAUUUAAUUGGAUAUAUUCGUCUUGCAGCCUUUCUCGAACUGUGAUGAAAGACGUUUGCAAGCCAGAAGAUUUCAGAAGUAUGUGAUUGGAAAUGAAGGGAUUCCGUGCAAGCAUGGACAGCAGGGAAGACCUGAUCGAGAUGAGAAGAAGUCAUAUAGACAUAAAAAUGUCACACUGGCCUGAGUGAUGGACCAUCGCAAGUGGAUAUGAAUUGGAAAUGCUUAAAUAUACCCAAGCAUUGCUGUUCAUGAGAAGUUAUCUAAUCUCCAGGCCUGCCAUGAACUACAAACUUUCUCUGAAGUAUAGAGCACCAGCCACUAGAAGAUGGUACUAAACCCUGAUUACUGUCUUUUUAAAGAGUGCAUCUGUUAUGUGCGAUCUACAUCUUGCUGGAGGGUUUUUUUUUUUUUCCUUUUUCGUCUUUUUCAUUUUAUUGCACUCUUUCGUAAUUGCAUUUGUGAAUGAGCAAAGUCUUGUAUUACAAGAUCUAAGCCGUUAAAACGAAAUGUAAACAAAAUUACAUUACCCAUUGCAGUGACAGGUGAUGGCAACAGGGACAGCACACAAAAGAAAACCUGUGAUUAACUACGUAAAGGAAGCAUCACCAAAAGAAAAUCAUUUGUCCAAUCAGCGACAAAAAAGUAAAAUAAAACAAAAAAACACGAAGCAUUUCAUCCUUUGUUAUAUAUCAUUCUUUCCCUUCGUACCCAAAAAAAGAUUCCGACUUUUGAAUACUAAUAUACUUUUCUACAAUUUUGGUCUGCUGCUCUAACAGGCUACAAGUAAGAGUGCACUUAAGACUGUUUUGAAUACAGUGUCUUGUAUUCACUAGAAGGCAUUCUGUUUGCAUUGGUAUUGACUAUUACACAAUUUCCCCACAAAGUAUUAUGAAUUCCCACGUUAUCCAUCCUCCAUACCAGCAACUAUUGCAUUUGUUGCAUUGGCAUCAACUAUUACACAUUUUCCCCACAAGGUAUUGUUAACUGGCACCUGUUAUCCACCAUGCACAGCAGCAACUCUUUAACUGGCUGCAUUGAUAUGAACUAUUUAUGAUGUCGUCGGACACGACAGGCAGGUUCCAGAAACACCCAAACAUAUAUGCGAAAAGAGGUCUGUCCAGCGGCUGACAUUUUCUUACCCUUUUUAGGGAACCCUUCCUUGAACUACAUUCGUGGUUGAGUUUAUGUCCCAACGUUUCUUGCUACUGAAUCAUCAGCUUCAGACAGCCGUACUGGUCAACAAGUAAAAAUUGUUGUCCUCGUGUCGUUUCACAUCUGCGCUUAUUUAGUAACGGAUGGUUACUGCCAUCUGAGUUUACGUCAUCUGCAAUGGUUUGCAGGGCCAGACACUGGCACUACCUCAAUACAAGACAGUAUAUAAAUAUUUUUUAUAUUUAUGAGUUGGCGAGCUGAAGCC